AUGAUCUUCCUCGCCAGUAGCUCACCCUGUGAUGCAAAGCUACACCCAUUUGUAUACAACCUCACCUCCUCUUACACAGACCAAAGAAAUGAGGUCACCAUGGUGUUCACCUCGGCUGUCAUGUUCAUCCUUGCCACCCUCUUCUUUACGCUCAAUCUCUUCAGCCGCUUGUCCGUCCUGAGCGCCAUCCUCAACCCCAGCGUUCGUCUGUUCCUCUCCACCUCAUUGUCCCUCUUCCUGCCGGUCAUGUCCUACCUCUUCUCCGAGGCCAAGAACGAAGGUUCUGCUUUGGCUGCUAUAAGUCCCAAUAGCUCCAGCUACAGCCAGCUCGGUACCGAGCUGUCGCUACGGGCUCGGACAAUCCUCAUGUGGAUGCUUCUCGUGGAGCUCCUCCGAAAGAAAGUGGAGGCCAUCUUGGUCAACGCGGGCGUGCAAUGGCACUCCGGCACCAUUGAUCGCGCUUCCCGCAUUGCUUGGCUGGGCUACCUCGUUUUCUACAACCUCAGCAGCACCGGCAAGAAAGCAAUCUAUGGCACCUUAUGGGUCCUCGCUGCUGCCAAGUUGCUGCAGAGGGUCUCCAUCAAUGAGCUGCUCAAGCGUUCUUUCGCCUAUGGCAAGAACGCUGAGCUGCUCAGCUCGUACAUGGCCCAGAUGCUACAAGAGAAAGAUCAGCAAGCCGGCAACGGCAAUGCCCAGGAUGAAGGAGCAGAGUUGUUGAAGAAGUGCAAGUACGCCGUGAUGGGAGAAGAGGAGUUGGAGAUGAAGCCUGGCCCGGAGGGCUACCGUCUUGAGCUGAAGAAGCCCAGUACUGUUGACACGGACACUAACACCGACUCCACCAUCCUCACCGUUGGUGAUAUUUGGAGGCUCGCAGAGAAGGACAAGGACGGAGUCCUCCAAGAAGACCCAAGUCUUAAAAGGCUAUGCCUCUCGUUCGCCCUCUAUAAGCUGCUGCGCCGGAGGUUCGAGGACCUCCCCAUCACCCAAGAGGAAACCUCCAAUUGCCACAGUCUCAUCUUUAGAGGCCUUCGCGAAGAGCUGCUGCAAGGCACCGAGGUUGUAUUGUCAACCCAAAGGUUCGACGAGGAGCGUAAGGAGGAACUGAAAGGCAUGGUGGUCGCAGUUGCAGUGUUCGAAGUGUUCGACGAGGAGAUCCAAUUCCUCUGCGAAUACUACCACUCUGUUGUGCCCGUUGUGCUCUCCAACCCCUUCUUCUUCCUUGCAAACUACAUCCUGUUUCCCAUCGUAGUAUGGGCCUUCUGCCUCCUGACGUUCAUCCUCUGCGGCAAUGGGGACGUGCGCUAUGCGUACCAUAGCAUCAUCACCGACAACUACCUCAUAUCGAUCGGCAUGAUGAAAAUAGUCGGAUGCCUCCUAGGAAGAAUUAUCCAGUCACCGGAGGCGCUCUUCACAACCGUCGAUCUGGCCAUCACUAUGCUGCUCUUGCUCACCUUCCUCUACGAGGAAGUAUGGGAGUUCCUCGUCUUCAUCCUCUCCAACUGGCUCAUGGUGUCACUUGUCUGUGAGUAUACCACCAAGAGCCGCUGGCGUGACAGCCGCAUCUUAAGCGGCCUCAUCCGUCGUAUCCUAUGGGUACGGAGUAAGAUAAGCCAUCGCAACCUUUGCUUUAACCAAUUCUCCAUGAUUGGGUUCGGCGGCCUAUCACCCAUGAUGCUGCCUAAGAAGGCAGUGCCCAUGGAAGUGAAGAAGUCCAUCAUGAAAUACCUUGUGGCUCAAAUCAAUGAUGGCCACGCCCAUGCUGCGCCUCUCAGCAACGGCUGGUCCACGCUGCAGUCGGAGAAGCACAGACAAAGCCAGUAUAGAUCGCAGCUCUCAUUGGCAUGCGAGAGCAAGAGCGUCGCCGAGGUUAUCCUCAUCUGGCACAUUGCUACCAGCCUUUUGGGCAGGAAAUGCCCGCUGCAGAAUAAGACCUCGAUGGGAGCUCAUCGCCAGGUGGCAGUCACGCUAUCCGGGUACUGCACUUACUUGGUGGCCUCAUAUCCGGAGCUGCUUCCAGACAAUAAGGACGGGACGACCCACGUGUACAAGGAGAUGCAAGAGCAGUUGAAGAAUGCGCUGGGAGGGUGUUGGAGGUACCACCUGUCUUUGCCAGGCACCAGGUAUGACAAGCUGGUUGAGAUCUCAAAAGAGCAGGAGGAGACAACGAUGGUGCAGAGGGGAGCAAAGUUGGGGGAUUUGCUUCUGGAGAUGGCACAGAAGCAGGAGGAUGUGUGGGAGCUACUGGCUGACCUUUGGACGGAGCUCAUGGUGUAUGUGGCUCCAUCUGGUGGAGAGCUGCACGUGAAGGCACACAAGGAAGCGCUGGCACAAGGGGGUGAGUUCAUCACCGUGCUCUGGGCGCUGUGCACGCAUACCGGCAUAACCAGGCCAGCCAUUGCACCUUGGGAGGCACAGCGCCAUCAUGCGCUUGAACCAUAG
rnacentral:rRNA from 1 species